CCAGCCAUGAACCCUGGAAUUUCCAUAGUUAACUUCUUUCUGUUAAGGCUUUGCUGCAAAAGGUUAUUACUAACAUGCUUAAAUAUAGAGUUCCUGACAUAGGCACCCAAUGAAUAUAUUUUCAAGAGUGCAUGAAUUAAUUAAUCUUGGCAGAGAAAAAAUAAACAUUAGCACCCUGUAGUUCUUUCGUCUUUGUGUUUUAUCCAAUUUUGUAGUUGCUACAAAGCAGCUUGAAGGCCCAAGAUGGAUGAAUAGGCAUUUUGAAGAGGAAAACGUGAGCAAGGACAAAACAACACUGGCUGGGGACUCUUGGGAGGAAAGCAAGCUGUCUGAGAAUUCAGAGGUGGCAGCCAGACCAUCGCCUCUACUCUACAUUGCAAGCUUAGCUAAGGCCAUUCAUCUGAUGGAAAAACCUAUUCCCUUUGGCUCUCAUUUCAGUCAGGAGGUCUACCUUGUUUCUGCCAUGUACGUGUCUAGCAGCUGAUGACACCGAUCAGAAAGCUCCUCAAGCCCACCUUGUUUCCUCUUCCUUCUCCUUUCUCAUGACGUGCAAGUGGAUUACCUGAACACUGCUUUUACUUAGAGGAAUCCCAGCCCAUCUGUACAGCCACUGUGUGAUCUGAGUCUUCAGCCACUGUACCUCCUUGGCAUGCUGCCAUGUUCUAAUAAUGCCCGUCAUAGCAACAAUGGCAGCUACAAGAAACCUUGCUGGAUCCCACAUGUUCUUACAGAUAUCCACCCCCAGUUCUCUUUUCCUUUAAUAAAAUUUCUUAAAUAAAAUUUAAAAAGGAAACUACAUGUAGUCUAAUUCUUCAACUCCCAUUCUGUUUAAUCCAAGCUUUUGGUCAUGCAACUAUGAUGAAAUUGUUAUCAUUAAAUGCAGUUGGUAUUUUCUAAGUUCUCAUGUUGCAUGGCCACUCUCUCAAUCUUUGUUGGAUAAUCUACUUUGUCCAUUUGGCUGCUUUAUAGUGCCAUUCCUCAGGUCUCCACCUUGGGACUUACUUUCUUCUCAUUUUACAUUCUGUUCCUAGGCUUUCUAACUUUCACUACAUCAUCAAAUUAGAAGAAUAAGACUCAAGGCUGGAUUAGGUCCUGGACUAAAGCAAUGUUAGUAGGAUUAGAGAAGAAUGGAGUGUUUAAAAAUUGUUCCAGGACACUAUGGAAGUAGGAAUGAAGGCAAAACAAGCAUCUAGGAUAAAUCACUGUUUUCCUUUUGGUCAUAAUUUCCGAGAGGCUGUAUCACUAGAAGAAAUUUGUGAUAAAAAAGCAAUGGAUUCAGUUUUAGAUAUGUUGUUAAUCUUAAAGGAAUUAGACAGAUAGCACUAACCAACUACGUAUAAU